rnacentral:ncRNA from 1 species
GGUUCUUGCGCUGUCCGGUGCGCUCGCGUCGGCCUUGAAAAUCCGAGUGAGAGAGUGUGAUUUUCGUGCCGGACCCGUACCCACAUCCGCAGCAGGUCUCCAAGGUGAACAGCCUCUAGUCGAUGGACCAAUGUAGGUAAGGGAAGUCGGCAAAACGGAUCCGUAACCUUGGGAUAAGGAUUGGCUCUGAGGACUGAGCCGGUCGGGCUGGGGACCUGAAGCAGGAACGGCAUUGCACCGGGACUGGGCGGGGCUCCCCCUUAGCGAAAACUAAUACGUUUGAAAUAUGCCACAUGCUAAUUUGAGUGUAUUUGAAAUACAGUUCAUAAUUGUAAGUACACAAAAAAUAGACCGAAAAUACAAACUUCUUUUUUUUUACUUAGUACUAAAAUAUACUUCUAAAAAUCCUUUUAAAAUACCUUUACUUAAAUUACAUUUGAAGUUCCCUUCAUGCGUUUUGAAAUAUGUAAAUACCGAAUUAAUAGGAACAAAAUACCUUUCACAUAUAUUUCUUGAAAUAUUUAUUUAAUUCAUGCAAAAUAUACUCCAACCCUAAAAAAAUGGAGCAAUCAAAAAUACGUGCAGAAUACUCUUAAAAUACCUGAAAAUCUUAAAUAGUGUUGUGUUAUACUCUAAGUACCUUUUGACUGCAAUACUUUGGUAAUUUGACUUAAACUACCAAAAUAUUGAAAAGCUCCCCUUCUAGAAGUUCACUUCAAGCAGAUAUAGAGUACACUGAAGCGCCUAAAUACAACAUUUGAUUAGUUUGUCAACUGAAUUGCGCAGCAACGCACUGAUAAAUCAGCCCAGUUUA